ACCCUCUCAGGGUCGCACCUGGAGAGUUUCUAGUACUCUACUAGUCUUGGCUACUGGAAGGAGAGUCAAGCAGAGGCCUGUCCAUUCCAUUCUUAGCAUGGCCAGUGGCUAGCGAGUGGAAGGCAACCUGCUACAUAU